ACGUAGGAGGCAAGCGUUGUCCGGAAUUACUGGGCGUAAAGCGCGUGUAGGUGGUGGGACAAGUCUGCUGUGAAAGCGCCUGGCUUAACCGGGCGAGGUCGGCGGAAACUGUCCGACUUGAGGACGGUAGAGGGGGGUGGAAUUCCCGGUGUAGUGGUGAAAUGCGUAGAGAUCGGGAGGAACACCUGUGGCGAAGGCGGCCCCCUGGGCCGGCCCUGACACUGAGACGCGAAGGCGUGGGGAGCGAACGGGA
rnacentral:rRNA from 1 species